AUAAAAUCUCACGAUUACUUGUAGAGUUGCAAAAAGUGCAUUAUUACUACCAAGCGGAAUUACCCUUUGAAUUAAAACAUAAAAAUAUUUUAGAAUUUGAAGCCGUCAUAGACGUAGUUUGUAAAGUAGAAAAUAAUCAAAUACAAUAUUUUUUAUCGAUACCCAUUAACUAUGAUAUUUUAUUUAAUAUUUUUUAUAUGUUACCUAUACCUACAGAAAUUGAAUCAGAAUACGUAACAUUAAUACCUAAUUCAAAAUUUUUACUUAAAUCAAAUAAUGUCAUUAAACCUCUAAAUGACAUUUGUACUCGCGGCAAUAUUUUUCAAUGUCCUAACCAUUUGCAAGACAAUAAUAAUUAUGGAUGCGAAGAAAACAUAUUGCUAGCAGGAAAUUCUACAUAUUGUCAAUAUACAAAAAUUGAAAUAAUUAAGAAUCACAUUGAAAUUAUUCCGGAGAUAAAUCAAUUUUUGGCAAUAUUUCCCGUAGAAGAAAAACUAAUCAUAAAAUCAUUGAUAUUGGCCUUCUUGUGGAUUUUGUAUAAGAGGUAACAUUCAGAAAGGACAAGUAAGAAUCACCCGCAGGCAACAGAAGAUGGGAUCCAGCUUCCAGGAGAAGCUUCCUUCUAAAGGGGGAGGUGUCACCUACGCCAUUGCCCUUAGGUGGACAGUAUAUUGUGCUGAUUAA